rnacentral:piRNA from 1 species
UACUGGUUUUGCCAGCUGAUAGUGUUGUCC